UCCCAGCUUACAAUAGUAAGCUUGGAACUACACGUCAUUUCACCAUGAUGAAAUAUCGUUAUAAAACGCGAAGAAAUUGAAAAUUUCUUGUGUGCAAAAAAUCUUCGAUUUUUUCGCAUACAACCACAAUAGCAAUGAAGUGGUGGUGACAUACAAAAAGGUGGAAUGGCUACUCUGG
rnacentral:sRNA from 1 species